rnacentral:rRNA from 1 species
UACGUAGGGACCAAGCGUUGUUCGGAUUUACUGGGCGUAAAGGGCGCGUAGGCGGCUUAACAAGUCACUUGUGAAAUCUCCGGGCUUAACUCGGAACGGCCAAGUGAAACUGUCAAGCUAGAGUGCAGAAGGGGCAAUCGGAAUUCUUGGUGUAGCGGUGAAAUGCGUAGAUAUCAAGGGGAACACCUGAGGUGAAGACGGGUUGCUGGGCUGACACUGACGCUGAGGCGCGAAAGCCAGGGGAGCAAACGGG